AUUGAACGCUGGCGGCAGGCCUAACACAUGCAAGUCGAACGAGUGGCGGACGGGUGAGUAAUGUCUGGGAAACUGCCUGAUGGAGGGGGAUAACUACUGGAAACGGUAGCUAAUACCGCAUACCAUCGGAUGUGCCCAGAUGGGAUUAGCUAGUGGGUGGGGUAACGGCUCACCUAGGCGACGAUCCCUAGCUGGUCUGAGAGGAUGACCAGCCACACUGGAACUGAGACACGGUCCAGACUCCUACGGGAGGCAGCAGUGGGGAAUAGUGCACAAGGGGCGCAAGCCUGAUGCAGCCAUGCCGCGUGUAUGAAGAAGGCCUUCGGGUUGUAAAGUACUUUCAGCGGGGAGGCGUUACCCGCAGAAGAAGCACCGGCUAACUCCGUGCCAGCAGCCGCGGUAAUUC
rnacentral:rRNA from 1 species